UGGGCAGAAGUCAAAGGCUCUGACACCUUCCUUUUUCUCCCCUUCUUUUCCAGCUUCCUAAAGGCUUUCAAAGAAUGCUGUUAGUGCCAGCCCCACUUUCUGCAGCCCUGCCUGGGAGUCCUGAUGCCUGGCCAUGAAGAUCUAGGAGCUCUGCUGAUUCAUCUGCUGCCCCUUGAGGAGCCUGACCUAGGUCUUGGAAGAUGCUCUCCUGCCUUGUCUAGGGCCUCAGCUCAGGUGACUUGUUCAGUCCUACAGCCUAAGUAAAGGUGAGUAUUUUAUUUCCUGUGUUGUUGCUGUUCUCUGCAAUAUUGAUGGACACCAUGAGGUGUGAAUCUGGCUGAACUUCACAGGUGUGCUUUUUGUCAUUUCUUG
rnacentral:lncRNA from 1 species